AUCACCUCACAAACCCUCACUCUCACAAAGGACGAAAAAAGAAAAUAAAAAGGACCUACCACUAAAAAACGUCUCUCUCUCUGCUCAUGAAUAAAGGAAUUGAAAAAAGAUCCUCUCUCCACUCAUAAUCUGGCUCAGUUGGAAAAAACAAAAAUAAAGAAGAAAAAAAGAUGAACUACUGUUCAUCUUCCUAAACAACCAAAACUUUCGCCGCUCUCGCACCACCGCCGGAAGCUGCAUUACUCCCACCCUAUUCAAAUCAUCUUCGUACACCUCAAACACAACCAUAUCUUCUUUCCGUGGAAACCCACUCGACCUCAUCCGCCGCCGGAAAUCUCCACUACAUCCUCCGUCCAUAGCCGCGAGCCACUAAACCAUUUCUUCUUCGAACUACCCUUCAGCUACCGUUAUCUUUCCACCGAAAUCCUUCCAUCACCGACACACCGUGACCUCCAGAUUCCGCCGGAGCAACAAUAACAGAACCCGAUGAGACACCUUUACUCCACCGCGUUUCAAAUCAAGCUUAUGAAGUGAUCAAAUAAGGAGAUAUUGAUAGAAGGAGGGAGGGGCUUUGUUUAUGUUCAUAGGGGUUGGAGUAGUUUCUACUUAAUUUGAAAAUGCAGAGUGAUGCGAGAGUAAGAGUUGGCAUCCAUUUUUUUCCUUCUUUCCUUUUUUUGAAUUUUGGAUCUUGGUUUUAUUAUUAUUUCUUAUUUUAAUUUCUAAUUUUUAUAAUUUUUGUAUAAAUCAUGUAUUGGGCUUUUAUGUGUGCUAGGCUCAUUAACCGUUUUUUCUUACACCUCCCAUACUUUGUAAAUAAUUCUUAAACUAUGUAAAUAAAGUUUGUGUUGCUACUAUUUAAUUUAA